UACAGAGGUCCCAAGCGUUGUUCGGAUUCACUGGGCGUAAAGGGUGCGUAGGUGGUUGGGUAAGUCUGAUGUGAAAUCUCCGGGCUCAACCCGGAAAUGGCAUUGGAUACUAUUCGGCUAGAGGUUUGGAGGGGGGACUGGAAUUCUCGGUGUAGCAGUGAAAUGCGUAGAUAUCGAGAGGAACACCAGUGGCGAAGGCGACUUCCUGGCCUGUUCUUGACGCUGAGGCGCGAAAGCUAGGGUAGCAAACGGG
rnacentral:rRNA from 1 species